rnacentral:rRNA from 1 species
GAUGAACGCUGGCGGCGUGCCUAAUACAUGCAAGUCGAACGCUUCACUGCGGUGCAUGGUCUCCAACGGGGGAGUACGACAUAAGGAAUCUCGCGUCGACAGGCUGCUAACUGGUGGAGACGUCCUCUAAGACACCAUAGCUGUUAACGUCUCAUAAACGCUGUCUGAAAAGUUCUACGGGACUGGGAGAUUUUCUACUUAUGAGGCAUUAGUUUGUUGGUAUGGUAACGGCCUACCAAGGCUAGCAUGCGUAGCCGACCUGAGAGGGUGACCGGCCACACUGGGACUGAGACACGGCCCAGACUCCUACGGGAGGCAGCAGUAGGGAAUUUUCGGCAAUGGGGGAAACCCUGACCGAGCAACGCCGCGUGAAGGAAGAAGUAAUUCGUUAUGUAAACUUCUGUCAUAGAGGAAGAACGGUGGAUAUAGGGAAUGAUAUCCCAGUGACGGUACUCUAUAAGAAAGCCACGGCUAACUACGUG